rnacentral:rRNA from 1 species
AUGGUAGUCUUUGAAUGGAUGUCAACAGUUUUGCAUCUAUCUUUAUCACUCAACCCUGCCUUAUUUGUUUACAAAAACUACCAUUUGCAGAAACGGUCCACAAUUGGGAAGGCUAACCGCUCAAACCUACCUUAUGUUCACAAGAAGGGAACAAAGUCAUUUGUAGCGGUUCAACAUGAAUUAAAUUGUGGCUAUAUCAGACUAUACAAGGAGUGUUGCUCUAGUGAUAAGAAGGGAUGGGCAUCAGAAGAUGCCAGGAAUAAACAUGUUCUCUGGUCUCAGAUGGAUGGUCAAGGAGGUGAAGCAACUUUGGAGAGAGGACAUGUGGGGAGUGAUCGGAGCAGUGCUAAACUAGAUGCCAAAAGAGUAGUUCCUGAUUUGCAAAUUCGGCUUACAAAUACUAGAUGUCAAAUACUAGAAAAGUUCCUUCUUGGUGACCGGAUCAUAUGUUUGGAGCAGUACUAA